rnacentral:rRNA from 1 species
GUUGUUCGGAAUUACUGGGCGUAAAGGGCUCGUAGGUGGCCAACUAAGUCGGACGUGAAAUCCCUCGGCUUAACCGGGGAACUGCAUCCGAUACUGGAUGGCUUGAGUUCGGGAGAGGGAUGCGGAAUUCCAGGUGUAGCGGUGAAAUGCGUAGAUAUCUGGAGGAACACCGGUGGCGAAGGCGGCAUCCUGGACCGACACUGACGCUGAGGAGCGAAAGCCAGGGGAGCAAGCGGG